UGGCGAUCUUAUUGGGCCAAAGGUCCGUAGCUGGCUGCGCAAGUCCGUCGGGAAAUCCACUCGCUCAACGAGUGGGCGUCCGACGGAAACUGCACAGCUUGGGACCGGAAGGCUCGAAGGGUACGUUCGGGGUAGGAGUGAAAUCCCAUAAUCCCGCACGGACCACCGAUGGCGAAAGCACUUCGAGAAAACGGAUCCGACAGUGAGGGACGAAAGCCAGGGUCUCCAAC
rnacentral:rRNA from 1 species